rnacentral:lncRNA from 1 species
CCCUGCCCACUGGGUGAAACUGCAAGUCGAGAGCGUGGGAAACCAGCAAGUUGAGAGAGGAUCCAGAAGUAACCCCUUCUAAAACGGGAAAGAUGCCUUCCGAAAGCACUUGGCCCUAAAGAGAAAACACUAGGAGGAUGGGAACCAGGGACAGAGAAGCUACUUGCUCUGCAGCUGUUUGGGCCAGUAUGUUCCCUAAUCUUGAUGGCCAUCCUGGGCUUAUUUUCCUGAGAGUCUCUAAGUGACUCACUGCAUCAUGUAAAACUAAGAAAAAGGAUGUCCUGAAUUUUCCUGCUUAGAGAGCUUGUUUUUCUUUCCUGUUGCAUCAAAG